UGUCUGUGUACGGAUUAGUUGAUCUUACGCAUCUGUGAGAGAGCAGCGAGACCGGGACGAUUCUGUGAGACCAAUAGGCAGCCGAGACGGCGGAGCGAGAGCGAUGCGCGCGCAUACUAGCGCCGCGGCGUAGAUUUGAUUCGGCGCGGGUCGCGCGAAGAAGGAGAGCCACCACUGCGUCUGCGCCGACCGAACACGUUCUAUUGGGCCGCCUUCCUAGAACCGGGUCCACCUUCGAUAAUCGCGCGUGACGUUCUAGUCGAAUUUGGAUUAGGCAGCCACCAAUUCGUGACCUUGACGUCUUCCAUCGACACCGCAACGGUAAAUGUUAUCGAGAGAACGUAUCCGAAAGUGGAAUCGAACGCCUCGUUGUCGUCGUCGUCGUCGUGGCACUACAAUCGACUUCCAGUCGAUGUAGGUCAGGACCACGCUAUUGCCGCGAUCUGCCGCGUUCUCAGAAACGAAAAUUGUUCACUUCCGGAAGUCAGACCCUUUAUUUUUCUUUUUUUUUCUUUUUUUUUUUUUUUUAAUUAAGGGUUUCCAAGGAACAUGUGACAAACACUUUGAUUCGAGAACGUAAUGAUAUCGUGUCGAAGAAUAUUGAGACGCAAGGACGGUGCGAUGAGAUACUGUCCACUGCUACUGCUAUAUGUAACGUCUAACGGAAGAAUGGAUUGAAAACUGAAAUCCUGUAUAUCGACUAUUUUGUAUUUAAAUUACCUUCGACCGGUAAUAAAUAAUUCCACGUAAGCAAUAAAUUGCCCACGAGACUAAUGUAAUUAAUGUUAUUAGUACUAAUUAUAUAUUUCGUGUGUAAAUAUCUUUGAUACGGACACUCGAUGAUAUAGAAACGAAAGUAUGGAACCGGUGAGAAAAUGAUGCGGAAGAUAAAAUGGAAGAAUGGAAUUUUCUAUAAAACGGUAACUCUUUCUCCAAAAAUGGCCAAGAAUUGAAAAACUCACGCGGUCAGUUUAAUUUCGUGUGAAUUACACUUGACCACCAGCUCGGAAUCAUUAAUUCCUACCUUGUCAGUCACGACGAAUACUUGCUUCCAGGCAAUUAAACUACUUUCUCGCUUGUCACAAAAUAUCGAUCGCAAUCUUCGGAAAUGUAUAAUGUACAUCUACUAUUACAUAUGUAAACUGUUUUUGUCCGUAUAAUAAAUAUCUUACUUCGAGCAGAGAA